CACAGCUUCUCUGGGUACCCUGUGCCAGGGCCUUCCCAUCCUCACAGAGAAGGAUUUCUUCCUAAGAUCUCAUCUAAACCUGCUGACUUUCUGUUUAAAGCCAUUGCC